GCCAACAUGGUGUAGUAGUUGGAAUGUUGGACUAGGACUCUGGAGACCAGGGUUCAAAUCCCAGUUUGGCC